rnacentral:rRNA from 1 species
AUUGAACGCUGGCGGCAUGCCUUACACAUGCAAGUCGAACGGCAGCAUGAUCUAGCUUGCUAGAUUGAUGGCGAGUGGCGAACGGGUGAGUAAUACAUCGGAACGUGCCCUGUAGUGGGGGAUAACUAGUCGAAAGAUUAGCUAAUACCGCAUACGACCUAAGGGUGAAAGUGGGGGACCGCAAGGCCUCAUGCUAUAGGAGCGGCCGAUGUCUGAUUAGCUAGUUGGUGAGGUAAAGGCUCACCAAGGCGACGAUCAGUAGCUGGUCUGAGAGGACGAUCAGCCACACUGGGACUGAGACACGGCCCAGACUCCUACGGGAGGCAGCAGUGGGGAAUUUUGGACAAUGGGCGAAAGCCUGAUCCAGCAAUGCCGCGUGUGUGAAGAAGGCCUUCGGGUUGUAAAGCACUUUUGUCCGGAAAGAAAUGGCUCUGGUUAAUACCUGGGGUCGAUGACGGUACCGGAAGAAUAAGGACCGGCUAACUACGUG